rnacentral:tRNA from 1 species
UGGGGUGUAGCCAAGCGGAAAGGCAGCGGCCUUUGGAGCCGCCAUUCGGAGGUUCGAAUCCUCCCACCCCAGCCA